CAGUGAGGAAAGCUCUGCUGAAGGGUGAUACAGAGUGCAGGGAGGCUGCAGGAGGGAGAGGAGGGUGGGGACAGCUCUGCCAGCAGAACCUGCGCUCCACACACAUCUCUCACUGUGGCAAACAGACAGCCAGACAGAUGUUUGCCAAAUGUGCCCUUCUUGGCAACAAACCCACAAACUGUGGGGGAUUUUGAUGCUUUUACAGCUGGGGUUUGGUCCAGAUUAGAACAAAAUCUUGAAAAUGCACCCAACUUGGAAACGCCAAGGAAUUCCUCUGCAGAAACGUUUUGCUGGGAAAUGGUAAAUGGUUUGGUAGAGUCAAAAUGAAGUAUUAUAAUUCCACGUUCUAUGUACAAGUCAAAAUGAAUAAUUUACCUCCUUUAACUAUUUUUAAACACCUGAAACAUCUGAAAAGGCUUUUUUUUGUUUGUUUUUUGACACGUCUGUCAAAUCUCAUCAGACACAGCGUGUUUGUGAAUGGGGAGAUGUUCCCAGCAGCUGCAGCUGCCUGUGGCAGCAGGAGAGCCCUGACCAGGAUGGCUGUGGGGGACAGAACUGGGAAAAGAAAGGCCAUCUGUCUGUCCAUCCAUCCAUGGAUCCAUGGAUCCAUUCAUCCAUCAUCCAUCAUCCAUCCAUCAUCCAUCCAUCAUCCAUCAUCCAUCCAUCAUCCAUCCAUCCUCCAUCAUCCAUCAUCCAUCAUCCAUCAUCCAUCAUCCAUCCAUCACCCAUCAUCCAUCAUCCAUCCAUCAUCCAUCCAUCAUCCAUCAUCCAUCAUCCAUCAUCCAUCCAUCAUCCAUCCAUCAUCCAUCAUCCAUCAUCCANCAUCCAUCAUCCAUCAUCCAUCAUCCAUCCAUCAUCCAUCAUCCAUCAUCCAUCCAUCAUCCAUCAUCCAUCCAUCCAUCAUCCAUCCAUCCAUCCAUCAAUCACCCACCCUUGCACCCAGCCCAUGCAGGGCUCUGCUUUGGCCAAGCAGCAUUUCCCCACCCCAUCACCAAGUGACAUAAUUGAGAGGGUGGUUUUAUUUAUUUUCCCUAUUCAGGGAACAGUUCUGGUACCUUCUGCUUGUGUUAGUUUUUGGGGAAGGGGGCUGAAAUGAAGCCCGGAGGGGACUGAGGGGGUUUGCAGCAGGAGAACACAGCUGAUUCACUCUCUGGUAUAAGCAGGAGUUGGUCUGACAUGGCACUGUUUAUUUUGAGCAGGUUCUAGGAACAGUUUGCAGCUCUUUCCCCAUCUCUUGAUGUGCCCACACAGUAAAUUAUCUGCAAUCAUUAGCAAGUGGGCUGCUUCCUCCUUCAGACACAAUUAGUGGGCAGGGGCCGGAAAAACCUUCCUCAAUCUCAUUUCCUUCUCAGGAUGCUCUUGAGAGCCCGGCGCUGCCUCGGAGGAGGCAGGGCACAGCCGCUGCCCAGAGUGACCCUCCCUGCUCCUCGGGGUGGGAGCAUCCUCCGUCCGUCCGUCCCCCGAUGGUCCCCGGGGGCUGCCCGGGCGGGGAAGGUGGAACCUUGGAACCUCAGCCUCCGGGUCAGGGAGGCUGAAGCAGAGGCAGGAACCGGCAGAGGCUCAGGACAAGCUGAUUUCCAGUUCCCUUUGCCUGUGAGGUCCAUCCUGGGGCGGUGCACAGGCACGGGUGACUCAGGGGCUGGGGAAUGGUGUGAGCAGUGAGCAGCAGCUCCUGUCCAGGGCACCUGGCUCAGGGUUCCUGGAGCACCAGCAGCUGCCGGGCACUGGUGCCAAAGCCUUGGUGGCUCUGCCACAGCUGCCCCCGGUCCCGAGCACUGCUGGCCGUGCCAUCGCCUCCUCCUGCCCCACACCGCCAGCUGGGAACCGGCCCUGGGGGAGCAGCAGCGCUCGAGGGGGAGCUUUGGAUUUACACUCGGGAAACCUGGAAUAAAUCAAAGCAAUUAAAGUGCA
rnacentral:lncRNA from 1 species